AAACUCUCAAGUUGGCC
rnacentral:rRNA from 1 species